UACAGAGGGUGCGAGCGUUACUCGGAAUUACUGGGCGUAAAGCGUGCGUAGACGGUUAUUUAAGUCGGAUGUGAAAGCCCCGGGCUCAACCUGGGAAUUGCAUUCGAGACUGAAUAGCUAGGGUACGGUAGAGGGAAGCGGAAUUUCCGGUGUAGCGGUGAAAUGCGUAGAUAUCGGAAGGAACAUCAGUGGCGAAAGCGGCUUCCUGGACCAGUACCGACGUUCAGGCACGAAAGCGUGGGGAGCAAACAGG
rnacentral:rRNA from 1 species